AGAAUCAACGCUGGCGGCGUGCCUAACACAUGCAAGUCGAACGCGAAAGGGGCGCAAGCCCUGAGUAGAGUGGCAAACGGGUGAGUAACACGUGGGUGACCUGCCUUCGAGUGGGGGAUAACGUUCCGAAAGGAACGCUAAUACCGCAUGACAUCCUGCGUUUGGAAACGCGGACAUCAAAGCUGGGGAUCGCAAGACCUGGCGCUCGGAGAGGGGCCCGCGGCUGAUUAGCUAGUUGGUGGGUAACGCUCACCAAGGCGACGAUCAGUA
rnacentral:rRNA from 1 species